rnacentral:rRNA from 1 species
UACGUAGGGUGCGAGCGUUGCCCGGAUUUAUUGGGCGUACAGGGUGCGUAGGCGGUCGGGUAAGUCUGAUGUGAAAUCUCACAGCUUAACUGUGAAACUGCAUUGGAUACUAUCCGGCUCGAGGAAUGGAGGGGAGACUGGAAUACUUGGUGUAGCAGUGAAAUGCGUAGAUAUCAAGUGGAACACCAGUGGCGAAGGCGAGUCUCUGGACAUUUCCUGACGCUGAGGCACGAAAGCCAGGGGAGCAAACGGG